rnacentral:rRNA from 1 species
UAUCAAUAAGCGGAGGAAAAGAAACCAACCGGGAUUACCUYAGUAACGGCGAGUGAAGCGGUAACAGCUCAAAUUUGAAAUCUGGCUCCUUCGGAGUCCGAGUUGUAAUUUGUAGAAGAUGCUUUGGGUUGUGGGCUCGGCCUAAGUUCCUUGGAACAGGACGUCAUAGAGGGUGAGAAUCCCGUAUGUGGCCAUGGCCCGCGCCUAUGUAAAGCUCUUUYGACGAGUCGAGUUGUUUGGGAAUGCAGCUCAAAAUGGGUGGUAAAUUUCAUCUAAAGCUAAAUAUGGGCCAGAGACCGAUAGCGCACAAGUAGAGUGAUCGAAAGAUGAAAAGCACUUUGGAAAGAGAGUUAAACAGUACGUGAAAUUGUUGAAAGGGAAGCGCUUGCAACCAGACUUGGGCGCUGCCGAUCACCCCGAGUUCUCUCGGGUGCACUYGACAGCGCACAGGCCAGCAUCGGUUCGGGUGGCUGGAUAAAGGCCGUAGGAAUGUAGCUCUCUUCGGGGAGUGUUAUAGCCCACGGUGCCAUGCAGCCCAGCCGGACCGAGGACCGCGCCUUCGGGCUAGGAUGCUGGCGUAAUGGUUGUAAGCGACCCGUCUUGAAACACGGACCAAGGAGUCUAACAUCUAUGCGAGUGUUUGGGCGUUAAACCCAUACGCGGAAUGAAAGUGAACGUAGGUGAGAACCCCUUUGGGGCGCAUCAUCGACCGAUCCUGAUGUCUUCGGAUGGA